GGCAAAAAAAAGUUUCUACUUGCCCUGUUCUUGCAACUAAACAGAGAAAAACUGUGUGGUUACUGAAGCAUUAUGGUCUAUAGUUACCGAAGCAUUGCAUUUGUUGAGAAAGUGUUCCUUAUACCAUGUAAGUAGGGACAAUUACUAUUUAACUAGGUACAAUUAAUAUUUAACAAGCCACAGUUGAUCAAGUAGUCAAUGCUUAAAUAUGCCCGCACUCUGUCGUAUCCAGGAUGGAGCUUUGCUAGCUUUUGAGUUGGAUUCUUUUGACUGCACCUAAAUAUGACAAGCCGACAGUAAAUGAGCUCAUUUUAAAAAACUGCAGUUUAAAGGAAAUUAUUACAAUAUGUAUAUCAAUUCCAACAUUGCUAUCUGAAGGAUGAUUUAAGGACUAUUUGUCUCUGAUGGCUUUCCCUGUUUGGCUCCCUUUUAUGUGAGUUGACUCUACAGUUCUAGGAUCUUCUCUGUAACCAUAAAUUCACAGCUUAGCAAAAGUAUAUAUAUACUUGCUAGACCUUCUCAUUACACUCUUUCACUUUUUUGGACUAAUACUAUCCUGUAUAGACCUAAUAACAGAAGACAUGGGAAAUGCUUUCGUAACAUGAUGUUUUUUUUUGUUAGAUGCUCUGUUUAUUUAGUGUCGUUGAUCCAAAAACCUGAAAGUGUAGAAAUGUUCAUGCAUGGGACUAUAGAACCAAGUAUUUCUCGAUUUGGUGAUGCUUAAUUCAGAGUUCUUAUGCAUCAGAUUGGAGUGUUAACACAAACCUGUUAUUUAUUUCACUUCAUAUGAGUUAAUGCCAAGGCCUUUUUUGUGUCCCCUCUAAUCAUUGCAUCUGUAUCUUGAUCAUUGUAUUACGAGAAGCAAAAUAUUUCUCAUGUUUUGCUCAGUGUGUCUACUUAUCUUAUUUAUUAUAUUAACUAUUUUUUGAUGAUAUUUCACAAGAAUGACAUUGUUAGAUUUAGAUUCGUUAGGUUUCAACACAUUUGAUGGUAGGCCAUUUCAAUAAUUCUAUUUGUUUCAGGCAUUGGUAGAUUGUGUUACAACUGAAGAGUUUCUUGUGCUAAUACUUGCAGAUCUCGACACACCCUGAACAAUGAGCACAUGUUACCAGCCACAUUCCACACAGGAUGUGUUCUUUUCAAAACAAAGAUACCCUGAUACAUGAUUAUUCCUCUUUCAAGUUCUUGAUCCUUGAAGAUACUUGCUAGGUUUCUAGCUGAUUUUUUGGUAGUAUAAGGCUAUAAGCUCGAUGUAUAUGGCCUGAAUAUGAUCUGAUUCAGAGUACAUUGUGUUCUGAAGCUUUUUGCUGUAUGGUUCUCUCUUGAAAGAAUUCAAGCCAUUGUUCAAUGGGAGAGAAUAGUUGUAAUCCUCAAAUAACUGUCGUACCUAUUCAUCAGCUGACACAAUUGCCACCGAGAUCAUUAUUUUCCUUUUUUUUCAGGUUUUCAACAUCACGAAUUUCAUACUUAUGGAGUGGAGCUACCAAAAUAUCUAUUGAGGAAAUAUGUCGAAGCACAGAAUAUAUUCCAUAUGCAGUGGACUAACAGAACGACACAACACAUAAAAAGAGGAGCAUAAGUGGAAACCUUUCUUUCUCUUUAAAUUCUUGAGGACUGUAACAUUAUGAUGAAGGUGGAACCAUAGAGAGAUGUGUAUUUUUAAUUGAGAUAUUUUCAGGAGUACCUUUGCAAAGCUGAUAUAUCUUUCUUUUACAAGAUAUGGUUGCACUUGCUUCAUCUACAUAGGCCGUCUGGAAUGCCAUGAGGCCGGGAUUUGUCUACCACCUCUUCACUAAAUGACAGAGGUUGCCAGCAGCUGCACAUGGAAAGAUUGAAUGUUAUAUUCUGUCUACUAAUCAAUAAGGAGGGAGAUCAAAAUUAAUGCUCUCAAAUAUUCGCCUGAUCAUUUGUAUGUUUCUGCAAUUUUCCUGCUUGUUGGAACAUGUUUGAUGUACUUACACAUUAACAAAAAUGAUCUGUAACAUUCAUGAAAAUAUUUGGGUUUGGUCCUCUGCUUUUUUACUGUUUAUUUACUCAUGAAGAUAGCAGAUGUCCCUGUUUUUAAAUAUAGUUAUCUGUGCUUCCAGUUGGUAGAGAUCAAAGUAUUAACUCGCCGAUGUAGGGGAAAAGAGCUCUUUUAUAGACACUACUAGCAGUGGAUACAGGGUGAGCCGUUUUGAAAUUGUUUCAUAGAAUAACUCCCGUAUAAGGUCUGGUCUUU